AUACUAGAGUAGCACUCGCAUAUCAAUAAGCGGAGGAAAAGAAACUAACAAGGAUUCCCUUAGUAACGGCGAGUGAAGCGGGAAGAGCUCAAAUUUGAAAUCUUCAAGGUUUUACCUUGACGAAUUGUAGUUUAAAGAAGUGUUUUCUGUUGAAGUUUUGGUAAAAGUUCUUUGGAAUAGGACAUCAUAGAGGGUGAGAAUCCCGUAUUUGACCAUUAUUUUCCAGCUGUGUGAUACACUUUCAAAGAGUCGGAUUGUUUGGGAAUGCAGUCUAAAAUGGGUGGUAAAUUUCAUCUAAAGCUAAAUAUUGGCGAGAGACCGAUAGCGAACAAGUACCGUGAGGGAAAGAUGAAAAGAACUUUGAAAAGAGAGUUAAACAGUACGUGAAAUUGUCAAAAGGGAAGCGUUUGACACCAGUGUUGUUUUCUCGAAAAUCAAUUAAAAAUGGCGGGAUUUUGUGUUGUAUUGACUUUAUCAGCUUUCUGCACUUUUUUCCUGUCUUUUUUAAUGCACUUUUCGUUUAACAAGUCAACAUCAAUUUCUUUUGUUGUAAAAGGGUCAUUGGAAGGUGGCUUUCUUUUCGGAGAAAGUGUUUAUAGCCUUUGGCCUCUGCAAUCGGAGAGAUUGAGGUCUGCAGCGUAGAUCCUUCGGGGUUAGAUACAUUUGUGCUAAGCUAUAGUUCUUUAUAGACAACUUGUUGACUAUAAUCAAUCCUGUAACUUACUCGCUUAUGCUAUUUUACCUACGCUUAGGAUGUUGAUAGUCACAGCGUGUAC
rnacentral:rRNA from 1 species